AAUUGUGGAAAAGGUCAGUAUUAGACCUAUAUAGAAGAGUUUGAUAGUGAAUGAUUGAGUUGAGAAUGGUGAAAAUGCAGAGUUCAGAGUAUUCUGACUAUACUGCAUAUUUGAAAUUGGAUUAUUGUAUUGAUUUAAGGAUGAUAUAAAUGCAUGGUUCAUAGUAUGUUGACCAUGUCAGAUAUUUGGAAGAUGUAUAUUGUUUUGAGUGAAGAUAUGAAGAGUAAGUGUAGAGUAUGAGUUGUAUUGGAUUAGAAGGAGAGAUUGGUAGAUAGAGGUUGAUAGAUGAGAAGUGCCUGAUAGAGAGUAUGUGGAGUUGAGUCCAGUUAUUAGAGGUGAUGUCUGCGAGUAAGUUAGUACGUUAGUCCUCGACAACGAUGUUUUAAGUUAAGCGGGACAAGGCUGGCCCAUAACCCACAGGGCGACAAUUCAGAAAAUCGAAGAUAUGCUACGUGUGUGUUAUGGACUUCACAGGCAACUGGAUGAAGCACGAGAACGUGAACUACAUGGUCCAGAGUUAUUACGGACGAUAACGUCUACGAUGACAUCUUACGAGGCUAUUACGAGUCAAAUCGAUUGAUUAUCGAGAACGUUGAAAGGAUGACAUAAAUCGAAUAACGAUUUUGUGAAGCAGAGUAGAAAUUCGAGGAGACCUUGGCAAUACCUUUCUUCAACCAAAGAUCAUUUAAUUAUUUUCUUUAUCAGUGAGUUAUUAUUAUGAUACUUUUUCAAUAAAUGAGAUCUUCAAUUUCUCAAAUUCUAAGAUGACAUUGAUAUUGACUAUUGGUGUGAGUUGGUAUUGAUUUGAUGGGUGAUAAAGGUUUGAUGUGAAAAGACAGUGAUGUUCCUUGAUAUUGUUUGAUACUCCAUGACAUUCCUUGAUAUUCUUUUAUAUUUCUUGAUAUUCUUGAUAUUUUUUUUACAUUUCUUCACGAUAUUUGAUAUUCCUUGACAAUCUCUGAUAUUCCUUGAUAUUUCUUCCAUCUGAUUGGGAUGAACAACCCUACGUAUAGGGGACACAAGGUAUACCUGUCUGUGUGAUAGGAGUUGGAUGGGACGCCAUCACUUGUGUGUGUUGUGAUUACAAGAAGGUUAGCAACCUUUAGUAGUGUCUAAUGUGGACACGCAACACCAAGUUCAUUUGAUCGUAUUGAUCUCCCAGUCACUCUUGUAUUCCAAUGUGACCUAUUUUGAAAAUAUCUUGUUCCUCCGAAAUUCCCAAAGAUUGAUUCUUGGGAAAUGAAGUUUGCAAUUGUAAAAGUUUUGAUUCUCCUAUUUCUUUAACUGUAAAGGUAUGCCAAGGUUGAUUAAGGGCGGAUGAGCAUGUGAUAUUAUGAAGUGUGUACAAUGAUUUUACAGAUGAUACGUUUUAGUUCUCAUCGCGGAUUCUGAGGACAGAAUCCUUAUAAGGGGGGUAGAAUGUAAUAUCCCAUAUUAUUAAAUUUAGAUUUGAUUAUUAUAAAUCUAUUUGUCUAAAUAUUGUUGUUGGCUGUAGUAUAUAAAAAAUCUAUUUGUCUAAAUAUUAUUGUUGGCUUUAGUUGAAAAGUGAAUUGAUUAUGUGAAUAGCUUUAUAUGAUUACACCUGUUUUGUGGAUUAAUAUGGAUUUUACAAAUAUUGCAUCCUCCUUCUUUCUCUGAUUCCGAGGACGGAAUCCCUAUAAGGAGGGUAGAUUGUAAUGACCCGGAUUUUUUUAAAAAUAUUUUUAUUAGUAUUAAAAGUGAUUUUUCUUUAAAGAAGGGAAUAAGAUUUAAUAUUUUAUUCCAGUUUAAGGAGUUUUCAAAAUUUUAUACUAAACCCCGGGUUAUUGUGUUAUUGAUAAAUGAUUAUAUUUUUAAAACUGAUUUUCAUAUAUUGUUUCGGAAAUUUUAGAUGAUUAUUAUGUGAAUAUAUGUGUGAUGUGAGUAAGUGGUAUUGGUGGAUUUGUUGGUUAAUUAGUUAUGGUUAAUUAUGAGUAUUAUAUGAUUAAUAUAUGAAUUUUUGUGAAUUUUAUAUUAUCUGGUUUAUUGCGUUAACUGCUCAUAUGUGUUCGUAUUUGAGAGAUUUCAAUUUCUAUAUGCUCAGGAGAAA
rnacentral:lncRNA from 1 species